GACGAACGCUGGCGGCGUGCCUAAUACAUGCAAGUCGAACGCAGUUGGGACGGGUGAGUAACACGUGGGUAACCUCCCAUCAGAGGGGAUAACACUUGGAAACAGGUGCUAAACUGAUACUGAUGGUUGGACCCGGGGUGCAUUAGCUAGUUGGUGAGGUAACGGCGAACAAAGGCCACGAUGCAUAGCGGACCUGAGAGGGUGACCGGCCACACGGGGAUUGGAACACGGCCCAGACUCCUACGGGAGGCAGCAGAAGGGAAUCUUCGGAAAGGGACGAAAGUCUGACCGAGCAAGGCCGCGUGAGUGAAGAAGGUUUGCGGAUCGUAAAACUCUGUUGUUAGAGAAGCGGUAUCUAACCAGAAAGCCACGGCUAACUACGUGCCAGCCGCCGCGGUAAUAC
rnacentral:rRNA from 1 species